rnacentral:rRNA from 1 species
CCUGGCUCAGGACGAACGCUGGCGGCGUGCCUAAUACAUGCAAGUAGAACGCUGAAGGAAGGAGCUUGUUCUUUCCGGAUGAGUUGCGAACGGGUGAGUAACGCGUAGGUAACCUGCCUGGUAGCGGGGGAUAACUAUUGGAAACGAUAGCUAAUACCGCAUAACAGUAGAUAGCGCAUGAUAUGUGCUUGAAAGAUUCAAUUGUAUCACUAACAGAUGGACCUGCGUUGUAUUAGCUAGUUGGUGAGGUAACGGCUCACCAAGGCAACGAUACAUAGCCGACCUGAGAGGGUGAUCGGCCACACUGGGACUGAGACACGGCCCAGACUCCUACGG